UACGUAGGGGGCAAGCGUUUGUCCGGAUUUAUUGGGCGUAAAGAGCUCGUAGGCGGCUUGUCACGUCGGUUGUGAAAGCCCGGGGCUUAACCCCGGGUCUGCAGUCGAUACGGGCAGGCUAGAGUGUGGUAGGGGAGAUCGGAAUUCCUGGUGUAGCGGUGAAAUGCGCAGAUAUCAGGAGGAACACCGGUGGCGAAGGCGGAUCUCUGGGCCAUUACUGACGCUGAGGAGCGAAAGCGUGGGGAGCGAACAGG
rnacentral:rRNA from 1 species